GCAUAUCAAUAAGCGGAGGAAAAGAAACUAACAAGGAUUCCCCUAGUAACGGCGAGUGAAGAGGGAAAAGCUCAAAUUUUAAAUCUACCUGGUUCCCAGGUCGAAUUGUAAUUUGAAGAAGCGAUAUCGGUGUGGAGGUCUGGUUCAAGUUCUUUGGAACAAGACAUCAUGGAGGGUGAGAAUCCCGUGCAUGAUCAGACCAAAAUACUUAAUAUUCGUUUUCUAAGAGUCGAGUUGUUUGGGAAUGCAGCUCAAAAUGGGUGGUAGACUUCACCUAAGGCUAAAUAUCAGCGAGAGACCGAUAGCGAACAAGUACUGUGAAGGAAAGAUGAAAAGAACUUUGAAAAGAGAGUUAAAUAGUACGUGAAAUUGUUGAAAGGGAAACGAUUGAAGUCAGUCAUGCUAGUGAAAAAUCAGUUUGACGGGUUUUGAGUUCGGGAGUAGAGGCAGGGUCAAACCGUUUCUCUUUUGGACUUGGGAUUUGUCGGAUGUACUUUUUCUUUGGCAGGUCAGCGUCGGUUUCGGAGGUUGUAAAAUACUUGGGGGAAAGUAGCUCUGCUUCGGGAGAGUGUUAUAGACCCUGGGGGAUGCAGCCUGUGGGAUCGAGGAUUGCAGCAAAUGCCUUUGGCUUGUCGCCUGAUCUCUGGAUGUUACCUCUCUUGUGACAACAUUCUUGCCACCGGGGAGUACUGAUGCCCAUUAGGUUAGAACGAUCAAAAAUUUGCUAAGGAUGCUGACGUAAUGGCUUUAAACGAC
rnacentral:rRNA from 1 species